ACGAGCAGGUGAGGGGCGGCGCCUUCGUCGGACGGCUAGCCACGGCGGAGGAGAAGGCGGACGCCAUCGGUGCGGCUACAGACGAGGCGGAGGAGAAGGCGGACGCCGUGGGCUUGCUGCACGGCUACAGCCGAGGCGGAGGAGAAGGCGGACGUCGUGGGCGUUCAUGGAGGAUGGUACGCCGGCGCCGGCCGCCAGUCCUCGCUGGCCUCCUCCGUGGUAUCCUUCUCAACCUCCGCUGCUCCUAUCGUUAUUUGGAUGGAAAAUUGGAGGCCGGCCGUGUCCUUCUCCAACACAAAUUGAUGUAGUGCCCGACCCGGAUUUGAUUGGCUGCUAUAAGAAGCAAGGGUCCUCGGCCGGAAUCUCCAUCAGUUCGCCGGAGGAAGAAGCGCCGAGUUCGCCGGAGGAACAAGCGCCGAGUUCGCCAAAGGAACAAGAACGCCCGCCGAGUCCUGUGGUGGCUACACGAGAGAGAAGCGCCUCUCUGAAAUUCACAGUUUUGAACCAAAAGAGACACAUCUAGAAAAUGAUUGCAUGAGUGGUUCCAGUGUCAUGUACGUCAACAUGGUUGGAGAUUUGGGAUCGGAUGCUGCGCCAAGAGCGAGGGACCAAGGUGCUGAACUAACAGCAGGGGGGAGGGUGAUUCUUCAGCUAACUGCCAAGAAUCAUAUAAGGAUGCAUCUAAUGAGGGAGCUGCACAAAUUUGGAAGAACUUCCAGAACAGGCAUCCAAGCAUUUUGGUCUGCUACCAGUAAGCUGCCAGAGCAAGAUAGCUGGGACUCUGGGAUGUCGAG